AAAGCGAUGGCAGACCCCGACCAGUCAGGUCGAUACAGCAAACGCGAGCCGAUGGGAUAGUAUUGUACUUCGUUAAGUCGCAGCGGAUAGAACGAAAAAUUACGACGAUCAGUCGCCCGUGUGUCCGUGGCAUAGCACCGAGUCUGCUCAAUCUGGACGGUUUUGUUCUGCUUCCCUGAGAGUGCGUGCGGUAAAUUAAUUCCGGUAGCGUCAUCAGAAGCAGAUUCGGGGCUUGC